GUGACCUACAGAGGGCCAAAGGAUAGGAGCUCCUUUACCUUGAUGCUAGAGAAGGGGCAAAUGUUCUGUACAGCUUAUUCCUGUAACUGUGGCAGCUGUGGGUGCCAAUGGACCUCAAUGAAUUGCAUCGAAACAGCAAAUCUUUAACUGCAGAGGACACAGGACUGUAGCUGGAGUGUGAAUUUUCUUUUUAUCCAGAUGUUCCUCCCUAGCUACAUCCAGACUAUUUUCACAGUUUUUCUUUGCCAGUCCACACUUGACCAGAUUCAGCUUAUCUUUCCAGAUGUUCGUCAUCUAAAAUACAGACUUAUGGUGCAUUCUUAUGAUGAUUCAGGUUCUAUUGGAAACCACAAAAGAUAAAAAAAGAUAGCACAAGUAUUGAAACUCUUUAUCACAUAUCUUUCUUUCCAAAGGGGGUGAUUUUGAUAGGAAAUUUGGAGAAGAAAAAAAAAAAGCUGUUUAAGAAUAAGUUGUGCUGUGCCAUAGUCAAAGCCAAAGGGACCUAGUUAGAGAAGAAACAGGAGCCAAUUAGAGUGAGUUAAUUGACAAGAAGCAACAGUUCCCUUACAGAAGAUAGGCUGGAGAAGUGCAAAGUGGAAACAGCAACUUCUGUCUCUCAGUUGCUAUUAAAGUAAUACCGUAAUAAGAACGUUAUCUUGCACUCCAUACAUACAUUCAUUGUAAUGUCUGCAGAUGCUUUUCAAAUGCAAUUGAGUCUAGCCUUGAGUAAAAAGGCUGUAUGAUUGUCUGUUCCUGCUUAGUAGAUUACUAAAGACACCCCUGCUUUAGAAUUAUGUGGCAAGAUUUUUCUAGCAGGAGGUCUGAAGUGUUGGGUCCCUGUGAACAGAGCCCAGCAGCUGCCUCAUGUCAGAUCAGAGCCAGCCCCAGCUGCUCCAAAAGGGACCUGCUGUUGCCAGAGCUGAGCCAUGAGACUGGCUGUGACUCUGGAAGGGCAGACUUAAGGAAGGGAAGCACUGCUGUGCAACAGCAGCUGGGAGAGAGGAGUGAGAAAUGUGAGAGAAACAGCUCUGCAGCCACCAACCAAGGUCAGUGCAAAAGGAGGGCAGAAGCUGCUCCAGAUGUGGAGCUGAAGUUCCCCUGCAGCCCAGGAGGGGCCUGUGGUGGAACAGCUGUCCCCCUUCAGCCCUUGGGCACAAUACAGAGCCUAUCUCCACACGUAUUCUUGGAGAAGCCCACAGGGCAACAGUGGAUGUGGCCUGGAGGAGGCUGCAGUGGGGCAGCAGGGCUGGGAGUGCUGCUGCCUGCAGAGACCCAUGCUGAAGCAGUCUUCUGAAGGAUGG